rnacentral:rRNA from 1 species
AGUGAACGCUGGCGGUAGGCCUAACACAUGCCAGUCGAACGGCAGCACAGUAAGAGCUUGCUCUUACGGGUGGCGAGUGGCGGACGGGUGAGGAAUACAUCGGAAUCUACUUUUUCGUGGGUGAUAACGUAGGGAAACUUACGCUAAUACCGCAUACGACCUACGGGUGAAAGCAGGGGAUCUUCGGACCUUGCGCGAUUGAAUGAGCCGAUGUCGGAUUAGCUAGUUGGCGGGGUAAAGGCCCACCAAGGCGACGAUCCGUAGCUGGUCUGAGAGGAUGAUCAGCCACACUGGAACUGAGACACGGUCCAGACUCCUACGGGAGGAAGCAGUGGGGAAUAUUGGACAAUGGGCGCAAGCCUGAUCCAGCCAUACCGCGUGGGUGAAGAAGGCCUUCGGGUUGUAAAGCCCUUUUGUUGGGAAAGAAAAGCAGCAGGUUAAUACCCCGCUGUUCUGACGGUACCCAAAGAAUAAGCACCGGCUAACUUCGUG